rnacentral:lncRNA from 1 species
CUCGAACUCGGUUGACUCGAAAUUUCGGAUGAGUCGAAGUUUUCACGUGGUCCCGAACUUUAUUCCAUACAAAAGUAUGUAAUUCGACUCCUGAUGAGUCGAAAUUGGAUGAGUCGAAAUUUCGGUUGAGUCGAAAUUUCGGUUGAGUCGAACUAAAUUAACGGUCCCAAGGUUAACAAAAGCAUUCAAAAUUCAUUUUUUAUCUCGAACUAAUACACAUAUGUCAAAACAUGACCUCCGGAAUUUAAAUGAAUUGAAUAGUUAAUCUGACAAUACACGUGUAAUUAAAUUUCCGGUCACUGACCACUGUAUUGAUUUAUGACAUGCAAUUUCCAUGAGUGUUUACCUAAGAUUGUCUUUAAAAGAAUUUUGACAAAUAAUUAGUGAUACAUUGUUAAUGUUCAUGAAAAAGUAUUUAAAAUGUUUACAAAACAAUUAAUUUGUGAUUUACACUAAUGAGCUUGGGUGUGUAUAAAGUGAGGACUAUGGCUUCCGUUGAUGAUCACCUAAAAACUACUCAAACGGCGUGUUUAAUCUUGUUAUAUUUUCUUUUGAAAAGAAAGAGUGAGAUAAAACAAAAUGAAUAGAAAUCAAAAUUUUCUUUAAUCUCUUGUAUCCGAAAAUAAACAAUUUUGUAAGCUAUAACCGACCUGAAUAACGAAACUAUCGAUUGGAAA